rnacentral:lncRNA from 1 species
AUGUGGUGGGAGGCAGGAGCCCAGGGCUGUACUUGGUUUCUACUGAACUCUUCUUGCCAUAUGGGACUUGCAGUGCCCCCUGGCCCCGCCCAGCCUCUCCCCUUCUCAUGCAGCUUUAAAACCUUACUACUUUUAUUUAAAGAAGGAUGGAUGAGAGCAAGUUGCUUCCCCUAUCCUGAACACAUUGCAUUCCCUGUGGGGGACACAGGAGAUCCCCAGAGAGACCAGAGACACCUCCCUGGGCAGACAUGCUACCAGGCAUGGACAUGCGCACGCACAUGCGCACGCACGCACACAGAGGCACUCAUUCCCCUCAGCCAAGGCCUCCUGUAUACUCACUUCCUCUUCCUUCCGUGAAGGCCACAUCACAGCCAGGCUUGUGGCUGCCCUGCCAGGCCUGACACUGGGAGUCUUUUCUCUCGGAGGCUUGCAGGCAAGACCAUCAGACAGGCCAGCCUCACCCCUACAUCCACCCUGGGGGCAGGGAGAGGGUUGCAGGGAGGGUUGGUCCCUUCCCUGCUGCUGCCCCUCCCGUUGCCUAUGGCCUCCGAGCCCAUUUUGAGCCCCUGCUGCUCUGCUCUACUAUUUCUCAGACUUCAGUAGGUAAUUCCACAGUCAGGAGGGAGCAGCCUCCAUGGUCCAGGGCUGCGGAGGCCAGGAGGUAGAUGGUCCCUCGGAGCAGGAAGCCACAGGGCCCUCAGCCAGCGUGUCCUGGGUCCCCCAUGCCCCCAGCCCCACCAAGCUCACCCCGCCCACAGGCCUGUGGCUGGCGGAGCAGUCCAGUGACGGGUGAUCAGCAGUGGCGGGUUCUCUUCAAUUCUUUCCUUUCUCCCAGGUUGAUUUCCAUCUCAAGAGAAGUCCCAAGAUUCAGAGGAUUCAGACAGGAAGAGAGAUGAAUUCUAGGAACGGAGUUUUCAUGAUGGUUUAACUUCAACAUAAGUGGAGAUGGUCCUUCUCCCACCUCUGUGCGUGGGUAGUUGAAGGGGACACCUGUCCCUCAGGUCACUAAGCUGGGCUUGCCAGAGAAAAUCCUGAUGCCUAUGUGCUGUGGACUCAGUUUCUAUGUGACAACCCUGCACCCACAAUUCCUACCUUAAGCCCUAAUCUUCUAGGUUAUGGGAUGAAGAGGGGGCCUUUGGGAGGUCAUGAGGGUGGGGUCUUCAAGAAUGGGAUUGGUGUCCUUUAAGGACAGCCCAGAGGAACUUCCUUGGUGGUCCAGUGGCUAAGAGUCUGGCUCCCAGUGCAGAGACUGUGGGUUUGAUCCAACAUGACACAUGUCGUGCGGUGUGGCCAAGAAUAAAUAAAUAAAUAAAAUACUAGGAAGUGGGCUCUCACCACACAUGAACCUGCUAGCACCUUGAUUGUGGGACUUCCCAGUCUCCAGAAUCAUGAGAAACAAAUCUCUGCUGUUUAUAAGCUACUCAGGCUCUGGAAUUCUGUUCUAGCAGCCCCAACAGAUUACUACACCAGUUAAAUUUGAGUGGAAAGUCAACGGAAAGCUGUUGUUAGUAUAAAUAUGUUCUAAAUAUUGUCUUCAUCAUUGAUCAGAAAUUCAGAUUCAACUGGGUAUCCUACAUUUUAUUUUUUCUUUCUAAUCUAGCCACCCUACCCAUACCUUCUGUCUGAGGCUCGUUUCUCCUCCAAGAAGCAGCUGACUGGGGGAUGCGUACGGUCUUCUUCCCACAGGCCUUCUACCCUGCCAGGGGACACUCCUGGUGGGUCCUUCCCUUCGUCAGUCCUCCCAGCCCUGCUGUUCUUCAUUCUGCCCAGUUGGCCCUUCCCACCCCAUCUGGCCCUGAGCCUCCGGGGACUGGCCUCCAGUGCUCCUGAAAGGUGUGCACCCUAGCCGUCCCUCUGUCCCUGCUGUCCCCUGGCCUUGCCUCCAGCUCCUCCACCCUCUCUGGGCCUCUCCUCCAGCAGAGGUUCACCGAGUACUUUCUCAGCUCCAGGCCAGGUGGAGCGGGGAGCAGUGGGGGGAAGCAGGACUCCAGGGCCCAGACCAUCUACAGGGUUUGCAGAGGGCCUUCUCCUUGCUGUGUUCUCACAUGGGGGAGUGGGGAGGUGGAGGGAGGUGGAAGGAGAGAGAGAGAAGCAGCUCUGGCCUCGUCUUAUAAGGACAUUAAUCCCAUCACAAGCUCCCCAACCCCAUGACCUAAUCACCCCAGAGGUCCCACCUCCAAAUCCCAUCAUAUUGGGGCAUAGAAUUUCCAUAUAUGAAUUUUGAUGGGCACCCAAAUAUUCUGUUCAUCACCGUCUGUAACAGAAAGCAAAGACAAAGGAGCAUCGCAACUAUUACCCUACCACUUUCAGCAGACAGGGAUCCCCAGCAAGCGUUCUUCACAGCCAGAUUCUCCCCAGGGACUCGCUGCCCUCUCCUGAGGCACGAUUUUCACCAUCCACCCUUGGGCAUCUGGGAGUCCAGAGCAUCCACAGGAGAUGAAACCCAAUGGGUUUCAUCCAACAUGACACAUGUCGUGCGGUGUGGCCAAGAAUAAAUAAAUAAAUAAAAUACUAGGAAGUGGGCUCUCACCACACAUGAACCUGCUAGCACCUUGAUUGUGGGACUUCCCAGUCUCCAGAAUCAUGAGAAACAAAUCUCUGCUGUUUAUAAGCUACUCAGGCUCUGGAAUUCUGUUCUAGCAGCCCCAACAGAUUACUACACCAGUUAAAUUUGGUGGAAAGUCAGCGGAAAGCUGUUGUUAGUAUAAAUAUGUUCUAAAUAUUGUCUUCAUCAUUGAUCAGAAAUUCAGAUUCAACUGGGUAUCCUACAUUUUAUUUUUCUUUCUAAUCUAGCCACCCUACCCAUACCUUCUGUCUGAGGCUCGUUUCUCCUCCAAGAAGCAGCUGACUGGGGGAUGCGUACGGUCUUCUUCCCACAGGCCUUCUACCCUGCCAGGGGACACUCCUGGUGGGUCCUUCCCCUUCGUCAGUCCUCCCAGCCCUGCUGUUCUUCAUUCUGCCCAGUUGGCCCUUCCCACCCCAUCUGGCCCUGAGCCUCCGGGGACUGGCCUCCAGUGCUCCUGAAAGGUGUGCACCCUAGCCGUCCCUCUGUCCCUGCUGUCCCU